AGCUUUGCGCAGUGGCAGUAUCGUAGCCAAUGAGGUUUAUCCAAGGCACGAUUAUUGCUAACUGUAUCCACCUAUGUAACAAUAGUGCUGCAAUGCCAGUGAC
ensembl:snRNA U4 U4 spliceosomal RNA